CUCAGGAGAAGGCUUUUCCUAUGGAGUGCCUAGUAAUCACUCCAUCAUGGUUACAGUAAAAGUCACACCUAGAGGGUUAUGAAGGAAGCCACAAUUCAUGGACAUCACAGGAAAGCCAGCAUCGGUAAUUUCAACCAACGUCAUUGAUGAGGUGCGUCCUGAAAACCUGUGGUACUCCACAGAUGAAGAGAUGUUGUUAAAAAGACGGAUUAGAUUUUCAAAGCGUGGCCUGGAUGCGUUAAGACAGCUGGGUUCCUGGUGGUUGGCCAGGCAACACAAUCCUAAAUCGCCACAUGAGGGUUCCAAAGAUUUUUGGCUGGAGAAGAUGAUGCUGCCUGACCCCUGACAUUGCCACUUAAUUACACGGUUGACCAAGAAGAAAAAUAACUGCCCCAAACAGCAUUUACUUGAACAGAAGGUUUACUGCUUGCUACACGAGGCACAGGGCACUGACAAUCAAAGCUGGGUGCACCCCCCAGGCUCACCCUGGACCUUCUCCCUUCUGUCUGUGGCCGAGCUCAUCAUCCAGCCCAGGAAAGGCCUCACCUGCAGGGGAGGUGGUGUGCACCUGAGUCUCUGUUCUCGGCCACUCGCACUCAUUUCUUUGUUCAGAGGCAGAGGGCCGUCUGCAGCUUCUACGGAAACGGCACCUGGA